GACGAAGAAACGGGAGGAGACGAAGAAGAAGGGGUGUGCGUAUUGUGCUCUUUGCUGUGUCUUGCCGCAGUUUUAAAAAUGGACACUUUUUGAAGAACCCGUAUCAAAGUAUUGUGGAGAAGCGUCGUGUUAAAUCUAAUCGAUGAACGGCUUUUUGUCAGUUCUGACGAGGACAGCUGAGUGAUGUUGUUGGUGAGCUUGGAUUAAAUCAUCUCUAAACAAAGAACUUGUCCUCGUGGUGACUGACUUGGGGAGUGGAGGUCAGUGAGCCCAUUGUCUCUGCUGGUCCGACUCCAACUACAAAGCCGGCCCGCUCGCCCCCUCCUGAGUCUGAGAGGAGAUCCAGAGAGAAAGAAGUGAAAGCAGGCCGAAACCUCAGCACAUGGAUGAUAUCGGCCAAAAACAUCCAGCACCAGCAAGUAAAGAUGAGCCAGCGGCGAUCCCUGUGGAAAAGACUUUUCCCGCUAUGAAGCAGCCCAGAAGACGCAAGCGCGCCAACAGGGAGGGCAGAAGCUUGAGCUGUGAUCAGUGUGGGAAGACCUUUACUCAGAUUUGUAACUUGAAAUCACAUCAGCUGAUCCACAGCGGUGUGAAACCAUUCAGCUGUGGUGAGUGCGGAAAGUCUUUUAUUCAGAGUUACCGCUUAAAAGCACAUCAGCUCGUCCACAGUGAAGUUAAACCUUUCAGCUGUGAUCAGUGUGGAAAGUCUUUUACUCAGAAAGGUGACUUAAAGAGACAUCAUAUGAUCCAUGUUGGAGGUAAAUCAUUUGUCUGUGAUCAGUGUGGAAAGUCUUUUCAGGAUAGAGAUCACUUAGAGAGACAUCAGGGCGUCCACAGUGAAGUUAAACCUUUCACCUGUGAUCAGUGUGGAAAUUCUUUUAGUGGGAUUGAUAGGUUAAAAACACAUCAGCUCAUCCACAGUGGAGAUAAACCUUUCAACUGUGAGCAGUGUGAACAGUCUUUUACUCACAUUGCUGCCUUGAAAUCACAUCAGCUCACCCACUCGCAUAUUAAAAAAUUUGUAUGUGGUCAGUGUGGAAAGGCUUUUAUUCACAUGACUGGCUUAAAAUCACAUCAGCUCACCCACUCUGGAGUUAAAUCAUUUAAAUGUGGUCACUGUGGAAAGGCUUUUACUGAGAUUGAUAGGUUAAAA